rnacentral:rRNA from 1 species
CUACGUGCCAGCAGCCGCGGUAAUACGUAGGUGGCAAGCGUUGUCCGGAAUUAUUGGGCGUAAAGCGCGCGCAGGCGGAUCAGUCAGUCUGUCUUAAAAGUUCGGGGCUUAACCCCGUGAUGGGAUGGAAACUGCUGAUCUAGAGUAUCGGAGAGGAAAGUGGAAUUCCUAGUGUAGCGGUGAAAUGCGUAGAUAUUAGGAAGAACACCAGUGGCGAAGGCGACUUUCUGGACGAAAACUGACGCUGAGGCGCGAAAGCCAGGGGAGCGAACGGGAUUAGAUACCCCGGUAGUCCUGGCCGUAAACGAUGGGUACUAGGUGUAGGAGGUAUCGACCCCUUCUGUGCCGGAGUUAACGCAAUAAGUACCCCGCCUGGGGAGCACGACCGCAAGGUUGAAACUCAAAGGAAUUGACGGGGGCCCGCACAAGCGGUGGAGUAUGUGGUUUAAUUCGACGCAACGCGAAGAACCUUACCAGGUCUUGACAU